rnacentral:rRNA from 1 species
UGAGGAAUAUUGGUCAAUGGGCGAGAGCCUGAACCAGCCAAGUAGCGUGCAGGAUGACGGCCCUAUGGGUUGUAAACUGCUUUUAUAUGGGAAUAAAGUGAGGGACGUGUCCCUUAUUGCAUGUACCAUACGAAUAAGGACCGGCUAAUUCCGUGCCAGCAGCCGCGGUAAUACGGAAGGUCCAGGCGUUAUCCGGAUUUAUUGGGUUUAAAUGGAGCGUAGGCUGUUUGUUAAGCGUGUUGUGAAAUGUAAGAGCUCAACUUUUAGAUUGCAGCGCGAACUGGCAGACUUGAGUGCGCACAACGUAGGCGGAAUUCAUGGUGUAGCGGUGAAAUGCUUAGAUAUCAUGACGAACUCCGAUUGCGAAGGCAGCUUACGGGAGCGCAACUGACGCUAAAGCUCGAAGGUGCGGGUAUCGAACAGG